rnacentral:rRNA from 1 species
GUGAACGCUGGCGGAAGGCCUAACACAUGCACGUCGAACGGCAGCACCGUAAGAGCUUGCUCUUACGGGUGGCGAGUGGCGGACGGGUGAGGAAUACAUCGGAAUCUACUUUUUCGUGGGGGAUAACGUAGGGAAACUUACGCUAAUACCGCAUACGACCUACGGGUGAAAGCAGGGGAUCUUCGGACCUUGCGCGAUUGAAUGAGCCGAUGUCGGAUUAGCUAGUUGGCGGGGUAAAGGCCCACCAAGGCGACGAUCCGUAGCUGGUCUGAGAGGAUGAUCAGCCACACUGGAACUGAGACACGGUCCAGACUCCUACGGGAGGCAGCAGUGGGGAAUAUUGGACAAUGGGCGCAAGCCUGAUCCAGCCAUACCGCGUGGGUGAAGAAGGCCUUCGGGUUGUAAAGCCCUUUUGUUGGGAAAGAAAAGCAGCAGGUUAAUACCCCGCUGUUCUGACGGUACCCAAAGAAUAAGCACCGGCUAAAUUCGUG